CGCCAGACUCCUACGGGAGGCAGCAGUGGGGAAUAUUGCACAAUGGGGGAAACCCUGAUGCAGCGACGCCGCGUGAGUGAAGAAGUAAUUCGUUAUGUAAAGCUCUAUCAGCAGGGAAGAAAAUGACGGUACCUGACUAAGAAGCCCCGGCUAACUACGUGCCAGCAGCCGCGGUAAUACGUAGGGGGCAAGCGUUAUCCGGAUUUACUGGGUGUAAAGGGAGCGUAGACGGCAUGGCAAGUCAGAUGUGAAAGCCCGGGGCUCAACCCCGGGACUGCAUUUGAAACUGUCAGGCUGGAGUGCAGGAGAGGUAAGUGGAAUUCCUAGUGUAGCGGUGAAAUGCGUAGAUAUUAGGAGGAACACCAGUGGCGAAGGCGGCUUGCUGGACGAUGACUGACGUUGAGGCUCGAAAGCGUGGGGAGCAAACAGGAUUAGAUACCCGUGUAC
rnacentral:rRNA from 1 species